GGAGUUUCCAAAGUUAUCAAAUCCAUGCAACUUUGCCAUUUUCGCCCAGAGACCACUGAAAAUGACUUCCAAGAAGACUACCGCUCCCUUCCUCUGGUUUUCCUUUUGCUUUGGACAUGUUCUGGAGGCAGUGGUGAUGGGGUCCGCGCAGUACCCCUCCGGUGCGCCUGAUAACGGGCUCCACUCACAUCUGGAUACGCGUGGUCCAGGAGAAGCCAGCGUGAGCUCCCAGAACGACUCGACAUCUGUUCAUGUUCCGUCGUACAUGAUCUCUCUGUACAGGACUCUAUCGGAACUGGACCGACGCGGAGCGAACGGCAGCCUGUCGCGAUCCAGGAGAUAUGCCAAUACAGUGACCAGCUUUGUGGACCUGCAGGGGCAAGAUGAGCCAUCCCCAAAGUUCCACCAGCAGUACACAUUUGACCUGUCUGGUCUCUCACGACUGGAUGAAUUGAUGGAGGUGGAGCUACGGAUUCUGAGGAGGCCACCACCUGACGUCUUAAAUUUACUUUCCCAUGGUGGGAACAUGUACCGGAUACUCCUCCACACCUGCUCCCUUCCUGGAUCUUCUCCCCAGCCUGUGCUCCUUACCUCCAGGACCAUUGAUCUUCUAGAUACUGCUUCAGCCACAUGGGAUGUGUUUGACAUUGGCACGACUGUGAAGAGCCACCUCAGGUUACAUAGGACCACAGAAGGCAGCCUUAAGUUACGCUUCAGCAUUGCUGCUGUUUCUGAUUCAACUAAUGAGGCUGUGCAUCCCGCAAUGCUGGGACUGAACCAUGAGGAUCAGCAUACCCAUGAAAGGGCCUUGCUGGUGGCCUUUUCUUGGGUGCGUAGGAAGGAGAACCUCUUUAGGGAGAUCCGAGAGAAGAUUAGGUCCAUGAAGAGUCAUACAUUUCAAAAUCCUGCACAAGAACGUGGUAUCAAACAGGGUCACCCCAGACAUCAGCGGAGGAGAAGGACAGCACUAGCAGGACGUCCUGGUGGAGCAGGCGGUGGAGGAGGUGGAAAUGGGGGAAAAGGAACCGGCAGACGGAGAACACGCUGCAGCCGGAAGCCGCUUCAUGUGAACUUCAAAGAACUCGGUUGGGAUGACUGGAUUAUUGCACCACUAGAUUAUGAAGCAUACCACUGUGAGGGUUUGUGCGACUUUCCAUUGCGCUCACACCUGGAACCAACCAACCAUGCCAUCAUCCAGACACUCAUGAACUCCAUGGAUCCAGAGUCCACGCCUCCCAGCUGUUGCGUGCCUUCAAAACUCAGCCCCAUCAGCAUCCUGUACAUUGACUCUGGGAAUAAUGUGGUUUACAAACAAUAUGAGGACAUGGUGGUGGAAAGCUGUGGGUGCAGGUAGCAAUGUGAGAGAGGGGUGGCCAACCCCUGGACUCUAUCUAAAAGCUGCCUCUCAAGGCCAAGCACAGCAUUGCAGUGAGAGUGGUGACGGUGUUAAGAGCGAGCCAGAUGCCAGUGGAGGGGAGAGAACCCAGCACACCCACCUGCUGAGCCUGUGUGGCAUGAAAGUUUUGCGAAGAGAGUGUUUUUCUGUUUGAGUCGAAAAUAAACACCUUAUUAAGUUGAGGUUCACCGUUCCCGAUUCCUCCUUUCUCACCCUAAGAACCUGACCCUGUUACACUGGUGUCAUCAUGGAGUCCUCCUCGUUGGGUGAAGUCAUUCGUGCCCUUGCAGAGAUUCAAGAAUCCCACCACCAAGCCCUCCUGGCUCAGGAACAGCAAUUCCAGGAACUCCUCCGGGCCCAAGCAGAGGACCGGCAGGUGUGGCGGAGCUUGGUGGCCCAGGAUCGAUCUUCAGCCACGGACCCAGAGGCAGCGACUGUGUCUCAUCUGCAGCUGACGAAGAUGGGACCCCAGGAUGAGCCAGAGGUUUUCAUCGGGCCAUUUGAACAAGCGGCUACCGCCUCCGGCCGGCCAAGGUCUCAACGAACACUUCAAUCGCUGCCGCUACUCUCUGGGGAGUCACAACUCGUGGCUGAUCAGCUUUCAGCAGAAACUCGCCAAGAAGGGUUGCAAUGUCGGGGAUGUGAUAGAUCUGAUGGAACUGGAGACAUCUAACCGCCCAUUUGCCGAGGAGAACUGCGGAGUGUGUCCAGUGCCAUUGCCCGGCAUCGUUGGAUGAUGCCUUCCAGCUGGCGGAGGACCACUUAACAGACUUUCUGGAGAUUAGCGUGUCCCCCUCUUCAUCUCUUUCUCUCUCCCUCUGAACCCUCCUUUUACUUUUAUUCCCAGGUCGACAGAUCUGCUGCCUCGGGCGUGGAGUCUGGGCUGGUUUGCUAGCACUGUGGGGAGCCUGAGCAUUUCCAGGAGCAAUGUCCGCUGAUGGAAUAGGUCACCGUAGUCCGGCUCCCCGACAUGCCACAAGCCAUCCCUGAUCGAGCUUGGAUGUACCACAUACCUGUGAGAAUUAAAAGGGGCACAUACCAGGCCUUGGUGGAUUCGUGUUACAGCCAAACCUUCAUCCAUCAAUGCCUGGUUCAAGACAAGGCUUUGGAUGCUAAUCAUAAGGUGAAGGUAGGGUGCAUGCAUGGGGAUAUCCAUGAUUAUCCUGUAGUGACUGUGACAAUUCAAAUCUGGGGACAAAUGUAUGGUUUCAAGGCUGUAGUUAGUCCCCGCCUCACCCAUCCACUAAUUUUGGGUACGAAUUGGCCAGCGUUUACCACUUUAUUAUGAGUAAUUUGUUUGGGUGGAUCCUGCAACAAAGCAUCUCGGUGUGGGAUUUGUGAUGCGCUGGCUGGGGAGGUCCCUUUGGAGUAGACACGAGACGAGACCCUUAGGCAUGCCUUCGACCAAGUGAAAGUGACUGAUGGCCAACGUCUUCAGCCAGACAUCGCACUUCAUAUCUGUAUUUUCUAUUAUAAAUUGUUGGUUAUAUUGAGUGAUGUAGGAAACUCAGGCAAGAGGAUACAACCCAAUUGUUGAUUCCAAAGAGCCGUCGGGAAAUGUUAUUCAGCAUGGCUCACCAUAAUCCGAUGGCUGGUCACUUACGGCGAGAAAAACACUCUCUUUGCAGCAAUCUUAUGCCACACAGGCUCAGCGGUUGUCUGCACAGGUCUCUCUCCCCUCCACUUGUGCCUGAAUUGCUCUUAACUCUGUCUCCACACUCACUGCAAUGACAAACAGCUGUUAGAGACAAUCAUUGGCAAGUGAUGAUCCUUACCGCUCUCAUCUUCUAAUCUCGCUCUCCAUACACAAGCCGUCGACCACACCCCCACUACCACACAUACAUUUAACAACAUCUGGAUUACUUUACCAUUCUUAAUUUGAUCAAAUGUAUGAUGCUAAAAAAGUAGGAGGGAACAAUAAAGCCGUGAUUUUUUAUUUUUAUUAGAACUAAGCCUAAUUUACUUUGUGUAAAUUAUUGUACACAUACAAAAGUGCUUUUCUUAAUUUAAUGCAUUUUGUGUUAUGUACUGUAUUUAUCUUGCUGCAAAAAUAACAUGAUCAUUUAAAAAAAAGGAACAGAAUAUUUAAUCUUUAAUCUGUUUUAAAGAGGGAAAAUGUUUUUAUA